ensembl:lncRNA
CACAACUUCAACACUUACAAUGACACCACAUCGAGUUCUCUGGGCGUCCCCUACAACUACGGUUCCAUGAUGCACUACAGUAAGACAGCGUUAUGGCACAGAGCCCAAUAUCUUCACCAAGAGCCCUGCCUUCGCCGACGUCGUCGGACAGUGCAUGGAGUUCAUCGACAAUGACCUCGAUAAGGUCCGGAGCCUCUACGACUGCACACGUUCCACCACUUUCUUGGACACCUGUCUUUGAGAGGGAGAACAUCUGUGGUAUGGCCCGGAAGACCAGGCAGACCGGAGCACGGUGACCCAGGCCCCCAGCGGACCCACCACGGAGUAAUCCAACAUGGGCAAAUGCACCGGCUUGGGCUACUUCAUGCACUUGAGCACUGCCACAGGCAAACCAGCAGACACUGCCAGGCUGGACAGCAGACUACUCUACCUUGAGAGGCUACCAGUGCCUGCAGUUCUUCCUCUAGAACAGGGGGACCGCCAAUGAUCAGCUGGUUUGAGAAGACUUCAGAGCUGUUCUUCUGGGGAGACCCUUGUAAGGUGGGCAUUGAGGUGUCAGAGGCGGAUGGGACCAAAUAUUUCCGUGGGCCGGGCACCGGGACACCCGUGUACCAGGCCCAUGGCAGGGCCAAGAGCAGGGAUUUCAUCAAUGGGGGAGACACCAUCUUCAUGCUCACCAUGGAGGGUUGUGGUGGUCCCCCUAUUUACCAACACGUCCACAUCAUAUGAAGAUGUGUCCCAUCUGACGGUGAUCCAACCCGUCCCCUCCUCUACCGUGCCACCCGUCACCAUGGUUACCACCGCCAUGCCGCACUCUGACCCCUGCACUAACAUCACGUGUGGGAAUGAGGGAGUCUGUGUAUUGGAUGCUGGAAAGCUGUUUGCAGGGCGUUUUACUGUCGGGGCUUGUAGCUUACACAGUACAAUGGUCUGUACUGUAUUUAUUGUAAUGUAUUGUAUUUACAAACACACAAACAGCCCAGCAGGCAAAACUGGUUAAGAUGUUAUAAUGACGAGUUUGUGGUUAUAACGGCGUUAUUUCAACUAGUUUUGCCUGUGUAGUGACUCCCUCUUUCUCUCUCCACCCUCUAUAUUGGUGUGUCUUGUUAGAUCUCUCUUUCGCUCGAUGUGCAGUGGGUAGAUUGUUGACUCUCACUCAUUCUCUUCCUCUCUGUCCAGGUGUGCUGUGGGUGGAUUGUUCUUUCACUCAUCCUCUUCCACUCCCUAUCCAGAUGUGCAGUGGGUAGAUUGUUGACUCUCUCUCACUCGUUCUCUUCCUCUCUGUCCAGGUGUGCUGUGGGUGGAUUGUUCUUUCACUCAUCCUCUUCCACUCCCUAUCCAGAUGUGCAGUGGGUAGU